rnacentral:lncRNA from 1 species
CGCUGGGCCCGGGCACCUCGGUGGGCGUGGGCAACUACGUCACCCGCAUGGGCCUCGGCACGCCGGCCAAGUCCUACGUCAUGGUCGUGGACACGGGGUCCUCCCUCACCUGGCUCCAGUGCUCCCCCUGCGUGGUGUCGUGCCACCGCCAGUCGGGCCCCGUGUUCAACCCCAAGGCGUCCAGCUCCUACGCCUCCGUCUCCUGCUCCGAGCCCCAGUGCAGCGACCUCACCUCCGCCACGCUCAACCCCGCCGCCUGCUCCACCUCCAACGUCUGCGUCUACCAGGCCAGCUACGGGGACAGCUCCUUCUCCAUGGGGUACCUGAGCAAGGACACCGUGUCGCUGGGCUCCAGCAGCAUGCCCAACUUCUACUAUGGGUGCGGGCAGGACAACGAGGGGCUCUUCGGCCGCUCGGCGGGGCUCAUCGGCCUGGCGCGCAACAAGCUGUCGCUGCUGUACCAGCUCGCACCCACCCUGGGCUACUCCUUCUCCUACUGCCUGCCGACGUCGUCGUCGUCGUCCGGGUACCUGUCCAUCGGCUCCUACAACCCGGGGCAG